GUAGCUCGGCUGCUCGCCUAGUCGCCUGCUCCGCACAACCACGCCUCCGCCGGCCGUCGUGUCUGCUCCCAGGUCCCGUGUCUACUUCGGCCGUCGUGUCUGCUCCCAGCUCCUGUGUCUACUUCGGCCGUCGUGUCUUCCCGAGAUGCUCUGAGUUUGCCCGAACAGCGGAGUGGCAAUAUUUGAGAGCCUGAGAGGUUUGACCGUGAUUGUAGUGAUGUUGCCUCACUGUUAAGGUAAUGCCUCCAAAUAUGUUGGUCAUUUAGGAGGUGCUUUGAGUAAAAAUUUACUUUUGAAGGGUAUUGUUAAAGCAAGGAUUGCCUUUUCGGGGCCAUGAUGAAUCGGAUGAGUCCCACAAUAAAGGGAACUUCAGGGAAUUUCGUGAUUACACAGCGGAGCAAAAUCUUGCUUUACGCAAGGUAACAGGUAAAAAUGCAUCAGCUAACAGUCUUUUGGUAGCUCCUGAAAUCCAAAGGGAUAUUGUUAAAUGUUUUGCAAAGGAAGUGCUACAUUCUAUUCUAGAAGAAAUCGGGCAUGAUGUUUUUUGCUUGCUAGUUGAUGAGUCUAGAGAUAUUUCUUGCAAAGAACAAAUGGCUGUGGUUUUGAGAUAUGUUGAUAAAUGUGGAAUUAUGAAAGAGAGAUUUGUUGGUCUUGUUCAUGUGAGAGAAACAACUUCUGCCUACCUCAAGUCUUCCAUUGAUGCUUUAUUUGCAGAGCUUAAGCUAAGCUUAAAGCAAGUUAGGGGCCAAGGCUAUGAUGGUGCUAGCAAUAUGAGA